GAAAGAAGCAAAGAAGAAAUAUACUCAAACGGGUCAGCUCGUCCCAACUCUUUCGAAUUUCAUGAAAUAUCAUCAGGCACCUACUACCGGAUGCCAGCAAAGCAAAACAGGUAAUUACAACACAGGUUUGACAUUUCAUUUCCAGCUACAUACGGAUACGUGUUCAUCGAAAGUUACACUUUUGAUCUUCUUUCCACAACCUUUGACGAUACUUCUUUCCAUGACCUUCCCAAACAAUACGGCAGCGUUUCCAGGAAAAUAAAUCCAAAAUAGUUCUUUCCCCCUUCAUUUCCCAUCUAUCGAGGAGAAAUCGGCAUACCUUGCCAUUUCCUAAUCUCGUAGCCUUUCCAGAUGAAGACAGCACAGAGAAUCGCACCAAUGCCGGCAGCAAGAGCACCCUGAGCGGCGUACUCCUCAAGAAAACCAUGGUCGGCUCCCCAGUCCCAGACAAAGAAAGGAAUGACGAAACCCCAGAUUGACUUGAAGAAGAUGAAGACGGCUUGGGUAUCCAUAGAGCGAGACAUGUAGCCUUCGAGGACGUACUGCAGAUGAAAGAGUCAGCGUCCAUACGUACAAGGCGCAAAUAGGAAAGGUUAG
rnacentral:sRNA from 1 species